GUGAGAAUGGACAUGAAGCACCUGGAACAUUCUGGAACAUUCCUUACAAAUCCUGCACCAACACCACUAAUGAAGAGAAGUUGAAUGGAGAUAAAACAGGAGGUGCCAGCAUUAUGGGAUGGCGGUGUAAACUGUGUGCAUUUGUCGCAUCAUCAAAAGGAAUUUCGAUCAUUAUGGAGUGGUACUGUUGGUCAUGGAUAUUUAGUGUCCUGUGUUCAUUUAGACUGUCAUUGCUUCUUUAAGACCUGAGAAGGUCUGCACACACAUUUGUAUGGAUCCCACAGUUUGCAGGAAACUAAAGUGUGAAGGUGUGCAAUCUUUCAGAUGUAAAA